GUCCACGCAGUAAACGAUGGACACUAGCUCUCCGGGGCGGAAUGUCGCCUGGGGGGCACAGCGAAAGCGUUAAGUGUCCCACCUGGGGAGUACGCCGGCAACGGUGAAACUCAAAGGAAUUGACGGGGGCCCGCACAAGCGGAGGAACAUGUGGUUUAAUUCGAUGAUACGCGAGGAACCUUACCCGGGCUCAAAACGCGCGAGGAACACUUUUGAAAGGAGGUGGCCCUACGGGGGCCUCGUGCGAGGUGCUGCAUGGUUGUCGU
rnacentral:rRNA from 1 species